UACGGAGGGUGCAAACGUUGCUCGGAAUCAUUGGGCGUAAAGCGCACGUAGGCGGUUUGUUAAGUCGGAUGUGAAAUCCCUCGGCUCAACUGAGGAAGUGCAUCCGAAACUGGCAAGCUUGAGUACGAAAGAGGGUCGCGGAAUUCCCGGUGUAGAGGUGAAAUUCGUAGAUAUCUGGAGGAACACCAAUGGCGAAGGCAGCUCGCUGGGACGUGACUGACGCUGAGACGCGAAAGCGUGGGGAGCAAACAGG
rnacentral:rRNA from 1 species